AUUGAACGCUGGCGGCAGGCCUAACACAUGCAAGUCGAGCGGAGCGGCGGUCGGGCGCGUAAUACUUAGGAAUCUGCCCGCUAGCGGGGGAUAACGUUCGGAAACGGACGCUAAUACCGCAUACUAUCAGUUGAGCCUAGGUCGGAUUAGCUAGUUGGUGAGGUAAUGGCUCACCAAGGUUACGAUCCGUAACUGGUCUGAGAGGAUGAUCAGUCACACUGGAACUGGGACACGGUCCAGACUCCUACGGGAGGCAGCAGUGGGGAAUAUUGGACAAGGAGCGAAAGCCUGAUCCGGCCAUGCCGCGUGUGUGAGGAAGGUCUUCGGAUUGUAAAGCCCUUUAAGUUGGGAGGCGUUACCGGCAGAAUAAGCACCGGCUAACUCUGUGCCAGCAGCCGCGGUAAUUC
rnacentral:rRNA from 1 species